AUUGAACGCUGGCGGCAGGCCUAACACAUGCAAGUCGAGCGGAUGAAGGGAGCUUGCUCCUGGAUUCAGCGGCGGACGGGUGAGUAAUGCCUAGGAAUCUGCCUGGUAGUGGGGGAUAACGUCCGGAAACGGGCGCUAAUACCGCAUACGUCCUGAGGGAGAAAGUGGGGGAUCUUCGGACCUCACGCUAUCAGAUGAGCCUAGGUCGGAUUAGCUAGUUGGUGGGGUAAAGGCCUACCAAGGCGACGAUCCGUAACUGGUCUGAGAGGAUGAUCAGUCACACUGGAACUGAGACACGGUCCAGACGCCUACGGGAGGCACCAGUGGGGAAUAUUGGACAAUGGGCGAAAGCCUGAUCCAGCCAUGCCGCGUGUGUGAAGAAGGUCUUCGGAUUGUAAAGCACUUUAAGUUGGGAGGAAGGGCAGUAAGUUAAUACCUUGCUGUUUUGACGUUACCAACAGAAUAAGCACCGGCUAACUUCGUG
rnacentral:rRNA from 1 species